rnacentral:rRNA from 1 species
AUUCUGGUGAUGGCGUGCCUUUUGUAGAAUGAGCCUGCGAGUUACGGUAUGCAGCGAGGUUAAGGGAUAGGAGUCCCGGAGCCGGAGGGAAACCGAGUCUGAAUAGGGCGAGUAAGUUGCAUGUCGUAGACCCGAAGCCAAGUGAUCUAGUUAUGAGCAGGUUGAAGCUCAGGUAAAACUGAGUGGAGGACCGAACCCUAGUCUGUUAAAAAAGGCAGGGAUGACUUGUGACUCGGAGUGAAAGGCUAAACAAACUUGGAAAUAGCUGGCUCUCCCCGAAAUGCCUUGAGGGACAGCCUUAUCAAAAUCUUACGCAGGUAGAGCACUGGAUGGACUAGGGGGCUUCACCGCCUACCAAACCCAAUCAAACUCCGAAUGGCGUAAGACAACUGAUAGGAGUGAGACUAAGGUUCGUAGUCGAGAGGGAAACAGCCCAGACCGUCAGCUAAGGUCCCAAAAUACCGCUAAGUGUGAAAUGAUGUGUGAUUGCGAAGACAGCCAGGAGGUUGGCUUAGAAGCAGCCAUUCCUUAAAAGAGUGCGUAAUAGCUCACUGGUCGAGUAAUGAUGCGCAGACAAUGUAACGGGGCUAAGCGGUAUACCGAAGCUACGGAUUCAGCACUUCAUUGUGUUGGAUGGUAGGGGAGCAUUCCAUGGACUGAUGAAGGCAAAUUGUAAAGUUUGCUGGAGGGGAUGGAAGAGAGAAUGCAGGUAUAAGUAGACGAAAAGACGGGUGAGAUUCCCGUCCGCCGAAAGCAUAAGGAUUCCUGGGUAAAGGUCAUCUGCCCAGGGUAAGUCGGCCCCUAAGGUGAGGACGAAAGUCGUAAUCGAUGGGAAACUGGUUCAUCCAGUACCUUAUUAAGUUUCGAGGGGAUGACGCAUGAGGUGAAACCCGGCCGGGCGACGGUAGUCCUGGUCAAAGCAGCGAGUUGAAGAUUCCGGCAGGCAAAUCCACCGGGAGAGAUGAGCUGUGACAGCGAGUGGAACGACAGUGAAGCGAAGCGGGCGUAAUCAAGGUGCCAAGAAAUAAUCUCUAAGGUUAGGCUUAAUAAGACCGUACCGUAAACCGACACAGGUAUGCGGGAUGAGCAAUCUAAGGCGCUCGAGAGAACUCGCGUUAAGGAACUCGGCAAAAUACAUACGUAACUUCGGGAGAAGUAUGGCCAUCAGUGGUUUAGCAAUAAGUUAAGGGUGGCAGCAUAGAGCAGUCCCAGGCGACUGUUUAUCAAAAACACAGGCCUCUGCGAAUCAGCAAUGAGAAGUAUAGGGGCUGACACCUGCCCGGUGCCGGAAGGUUAAGAGGAGCGGUUAGCAGUAAUGCGAAGCUGUGAAUUGAAGCCCCGGUAAACGGCGGCCGUAACUAUAACGGUCCUAAGGUAGCGAAAUUCCUUGUCGGGUAAGUUCCGACCCGCACGAAUAGCUGUCUCAACGCGAGACUCGGUGAAAUUUAAGUACCGGUAAAGAUGCCGGUUACCCGUGGUUAGACGGAAAGACCCCGUGAACCUUUACCGUAACUUAUCAUUGGGACUUGAUUCGACAUGUGUAGGAUAGGUGGGAGACUGAGAAGCAUGGCCGUUAGGUUGUGCGGAGUCAUUGGUGAAAUACCACCCUUGUCGGAUUAGGUUUCUAACCCAUGCCAUGAAUCUGGUAUGGGGACCAUGAUAGGCGGGCGGUUUGACUGGGGCGGUCGCCUCCCAAAGAGUAACGGAGGUGCGCGAAGGUUCCCUCGCGCUGGUUGGAAAUCAGUGUAUGAGUGUAAAGGCACAAGGGAGCUUGACUGCGAGACUGACAGGUCGAGCA